rnacentral:rRNA from 1 species
GCCAGACUCCUACGGGAGGCAGCAGUGGGGGAUAUUGCACAAUGGGGGGAACCCUGAUGCAGCGACGCCGCGUGAGUGAAGAAGUAAUUCGUUAUGUAAAGCUCUAUCAGCAGGGAAGAAUAAAUGACGGUACCUGAGUAAGAAGCCCCGGCUAACUACGUGCCAGCAGCCGCGGUAAUACGUAGGGGGCAAGCGUUAUCCGGAUUCACUGGGUGUAAAGGGAGCGUAGACGGCGACGCAAGUCUGGAGUGAAAGCCCGGGGCCCAACCCCGGGACUGCUCUGGAAACUGCGGCGCUGGAGUACGGGAGGGGCAGGCGGAAUUCCUGGUGUAGCGGUGAAAUGCGUAGAUAUCAGGAGGAACACCGGCGGCGAAGGCGGCCUGCUGGACCGUGACUGACGUUGAGGCUCGAGAGCGUGGGGAGCAAACAGGAUUAGAUACCCCUGUAAAC